rnacentral:rRNA from 1 species
CCCUUAGAUGUUCUGGGCCGCACGCGCGCUACACUGACGAAUGCAACGAGCCUAGCCUUGUCCGAAAGGUCCGGGUAAUCUCUGAAACUUCAUCGUGAUGGGGAUAGAUCAUUGCAAUUAUUGAUCUUCAACGAGGAAUUCCUAGUAAGCGCAAGUCAUCAGCUUGCGUUGAUUACGUCCCUGCCCUUUGUACACACCGCCCGUCGCUUGUACCGAUUGGAUGGUCCGGUGAAAUCUUCGGAUAGCUGGUAGUUGGCUUGCCAUCUACUGCUAAAAGUUGCUUAAACCUUAUCAUCUAGAGGAACAAGAAGUCGUAACA